rnacentral:rRNA from 1 species
GACGAACGCUGGCGGCGUGCCUAAUACAUGCAAGUCGAGCGAGCUGAAUUCAAAGAUCCCUUCGGGGUGAUUUGUUGGACGCUAGCGGCGGAUGGGUGAGUAACACGUGGGCAAUCUGCCCUAAAGACUGGGAUACCACUUGGAAACAGGUGCUAAUACCGGAUAACAACAUGAAUCGCAUGAUUCAAGUUUUGAAAGGCGGCGCAAGCUGUCACUUUUAGGAUGAGCCCGCGGCGCAUUAGCUAGUUGGUGGGGUAAAGGCCUACCAAGGCAAUGAUGCGUAGCCGAGUUGAGAGACUGAUCGGCCACAUUGGGACUGAGACACGGCCCAAAACUCCUAACAGGAGGCAGCAGUAGGGAAAUCUUCCACAAUGGACGCAAGUCUGAUGGAGCAAACGCCGCGUGAGUGAAGAAGGUUUUCGGAUCGUAAAGCUCUGCUGUUGGUGAAGAAGGAUAAGAAGGCAGU